GAGUUUGAUCCUGGCUCAGGAUGAACGCUAGCGGCAGGCCUAACACAUGCAAGUCGAGGGGUAACAGAAAAGCUCGCUUUUGCUGACGACCGGCGCACGGGUGCGUAACGCGUAUGCAACCUACCUCAUACUGGAGGAUAGCCCCUGGAAACGGGGAUUAAUACUCCAUAGUAUCACAAUUUCGCAUGUUAUUGUGAUUAAAGUUUUUCGGUAUGAGAUGGGCAUGCGUCCCAUUAGCUUGUUGGUGAGGUAACGGCUCACCAAGGCAACGAUGGGUAGGGGGCCUGAGAGGGUGGUCCCCCACACUGGUACUGAGACACGGACCAGACUCCUACGGGAGGCAGCAGUGAGGAAUAUUGGUCAAUGGAGGAAACUCUGAACCAGCCAUGCCGCGUGAAGGAUGACGGCCCUAUGGGUUGUAAACUUCUUUUAUAGAGGAAGAAACUUGUCUACGUGUAGACAACUGACGGUACUCUACGAAUAAGGAUCGGCUAACUCCGUGCCAGCAGCCGCGGUAAUACGGAGGAUCCAAGCGUUAUCCGGAUUCAUUGGGUUUAAAGGGUCCGUAGCGGAUUUUUAAGUCAGUGGUGAAAGCCGACAGCUCAACUGUCGAACUGCCAUUGAUACUGGAAAUCUUGAGUACAAAUGAAGUAGGCGGAAUGAGUCAUGUAGCGGUGAAAUGCAUAGAUAUGACUCAGAACACCGAUUGCGAAGGCAGCUUACUAACAUGUAACUGGCGCUGAGGGACGAAAGCGUGGGGAGCGAACAGGAUUAGAUACCCUGGUAGUCCACGCCGUAAACGAUCAUCACUCGCUGUUGGCGAUAUACUGUCAGCGGCCAAGCGAAAGUAUUAAGUGAUGCACCUGGGGAGUACGCCGGCAACGGUGAACUCAAAGGAAUUGACGGGGGCCCGCACAAGCGGUGGAGCAUGUGGUUUAAUUCGAUGAUACGCGAGGAACCUUACCAGGGCUUAAAUGUAGUUUGACCGGCUUGGAAACAGGCCUUCUCUUCGGAGCCAG
rnacentral:rRNA from 1 species